rnacentral:tRNA from 2 species
GUAGCUUGAGCUCGAUUGGUAGAGCACUGAACUAAAUGUUUAGGGGCACAGGUUCGAAGCCUGCAAGUUGCA